AUGCGCACGCCUUCUAUUGAGACCCAAGGACUUGUCAUUUUUAAGCCUGAUGUCAUCUUCUUAUUGGAGCAAGGGAAAGAGCGAUGGAUGGUUACAAAUUAUAUGACACAUCCUUGGCACCCAGACUUGAAGACAAAGUGCGAGAGAGUUCCCGGGAAAGGGCUCUUUGAAUAGAGUCAUUCAAAUGGGAGGUAACGGGAAGCCAGCAGCACCGUGACUUUCAGGACCCUCACCUCACAGAUGCCUGGGCGUGCAGAGACCGCUGUGAGAGACAGCGCACAAGUCAGGAGUGUCAUUUCAAGCAAGUGGAAACCCCCGGAAAGUGUCCCUGCUCUCCAGCGUCACACACCGCAUGGAAGCGGCAGGACUGCAGUAGAGAAAGCGACCUGACCGGAUGCAGUGAGCUCGAGGAAGCGGGGAAGCGUUUAGCUGUGGCUUGAGCCUUACUCAGCAACUCAGCAGUUGAAAAGCCCUUUGAGUGUAAGGGGUGUGGGAGAGCUUUUGCUCAGGCCUCGCACCUUGUCCAGCAUCAGAGAAU
rnacentral:lncRNA from 1 species